rnacentral:rRNA from 1 species
CCUACGGGUGGCAGCAGUGAGGAAUAUUGGUCAAUGGUCGGGAGACUGAACCAGCCAAGCCGCGUGAGGGAGGAAGGUACAGAGUAUCGUAAACCUCUUUUGUCAGGGAACAAAGACUGGGACGCGUCCCCGGAUGAGUGUACCUGAAGAAAAAGCAUCGGCUAACUCCGCGCCAGCAGCCGCGGUAAUAAGGAGGAUGCGAGCGGUAUCCGGAUUUAUUGGGUUUAAAGGGUGCGCAGGCGGUCUGUUAAGUCAGCGGUAAAAGCCCGGGGCUCAACCCCGGCCCGCCGUUGAAACUGGCAGUCGCGAGUUGGAGAGAAGUAUGCGGAAGGCGCGGUGUAGCGGUGAAAUGCAUAGAUAUCGCGCAGAACUCCGAUUGCGAAGGCAGCAUGCCGGCUCCACACUGACGCUGAGGCACGAAAGCGUGGGUAUCGAACAGGAUUAGAUACCCUAGUAGUC